rnacentral:rRNA from 1 species
GAGUUUGAUUCUGGCUCAGGACGAACGCUGGCGGCGUGCCUAAUACAUGCAAGUCGAACGAACGGAGAAAGAAGCUUGCUUUUUUCAAAGUUAGUGGCGAACGGGUGAGUAACACGUGGGUAACCUGCCCAUCAGAGGGGGAUAACAUUCGGAAACGGAUGCUAAAACCGCAUAGGUUCCUUAGUUGCAUGACUGAGGAAGGAAAAGAGGCGUAAGCUUCUGCUGGUGGAUGGACCCGCGGUGCAUUAGCUAGUUGGUGAGGUAACGGCUCACCAAGACGAUGAUGCAUAGCCGACCUGAGAGGGUGAUCGGCCACAUUGGGACUGAGACACGGCCCAAACUCCUACGGGAGGCAGCAGUAGGGAAUCUUCCGCAAUGGACGCAAGUCUGACGGAGCAACGCCGCGUGAGUGAAGAAGGUUUUCGGAUCGUAAAACUCUGUUGUUAGAGAAGAAUAAGCAUAAUAGUAACUGAUUAUGCCGUGACGG